GGUUUUAGUCGGUAGGUCCGAGGAUAUAUCCCUCGGGAAUCCGACACUACCCAGUCGUACGGAUGGCUGGGUGUCUUUUGAAGAUUUCC
rfam:Agrilus planipennis Contig13729, whole genome shotgun sequence.